GUUUCUAAUAUAAUCCCCCCCCCCCCCCCUCUCUCUCUCACUCACUCACACACACACAAAGCAAUUUCAAUAUUGAAAGAAUACGUGCUUCGAGAAAGCAGCUGGAGCUAGUUAUGGUAUGAGAAGGUGGGAGAUGAGCAAGAUGGAGAAGCAGGGCACGUGCAUUACUACUUCAUGCACACAGAAACGAGGAGCUGAUCUCCUUCAGUAAUUGCACCUCUCGCCUUAAAGGCCUGUGUUUGCACAAUGAGUUAGUUCUUCAUGUGCCCCUCUUCCCCAUCAUGACCACUCAACCUUAUAUUCACAAUUAAAUUGCUGUGAAAGAAGUCCAGCUCUGGUGGUCCUCGCUGUUAAAUUGAGUACAAUCCAUCAUUCUCUGUGCAUAGACAAUGUCAACAAAAAGAUAUACUGUUUUCUCAAGGGUUCUGAAGCUGUAAAAAACAAGAAAGGGUACCAUUGUCGACAUAUCGGUACCGGCUAUCUGGCUAUCAUGUUUGGAUCUGUAUUACACAUUGUAUGCUGACUUAACACACCCAACAGAAGAGCUUCUCUUGUGUUAUUUCUUUGUAAAUACAAUUACCUGGAUCUUAAGUAAUUACUAUAGUAGAUGCUGGUACAGUGUGUUCGGAUUGGGAAGCUAACUCAAACAAUAAGCACUAGCGUUUACUUAAAAGGACGUAAAGUAGAUAGUUUGGAAUAACUUUAAUUCAUAGAGUAGCCAGUCUAGAAGAUAAACUCAAAACUUUACUAGAUCCAAUUUUUAACAUCAUGUCCAACAGUUUGUACAUGAAGCAUGGUAUAGAGUUCACUGUUUGUUGUCCUUGGGAGCCGCCUUGCUAUGCAGGAAUAUUAUUGUGCGAAAGAAAGAAGAAACGGAGGACAUGAUAUGAAAGUUGACUUGUGCUGAAAUUGUACAAGAUUGACACUUUUAGGAGUUACGUGGAUAGGAAACAUAUUUCAGUCUAUUACAAAGACCUAUGUCCAGAUAUGGACAUUUUGUAUUCAUACUGAUAUUAUUACAAAGCUGCUAUUGGUUGCUAUUUUCUAAA